rnacentral:tRNA from 1 species
GGACGUAGCUCAAUGGUAGAGCCCCGGGAAACCGGGAGGUUGCGGGGUUCGAUGCCCGUCGUCCACCA